GACGAACGCUGGCGGCGUGCUUAACACAUGCAAGUCGUACGGUAAGGCCCUUUCGGGGGUACACGAGUGGCGAACGGGUGAGUAACACGUGAGUAACCUGCCCACAACUUUGGGAUAACGCUAGGAAACUGGUGCUAAUACUGGAUAUGUGCUCCUGCUGCAUGGUGGGGGUUGGAAAGCUCCGGCGGUUGUGGAUGGACUCGCGGGCUAUCAGCUUGGUGGUGGGGUAGUGGCCUACCAAGGCGGCGACGGGUAGCCGGCCUGGGUGGGUGACCGGCCAAAAUGGGGCUGGGAUACGGCCCAGGCUCCUACGGGGAGCAACAGGGGGGAAAAUUGCACAAAUGGGGGAAACCUGGUGCAACAACGCCGCGGGCGGGAUUACGGGCUUCGGGUUGUAAACCGCUUUCAGCAGGGACGAAACUUUUUGUGACGGUACCUGCAGAAGAAGCACCGGCUAACUACGUG
rnacentral:rRNA from 1 species